CACGACACCUACCCUCCGUUGAUCAUCGCCCAACGCUGACCGACCGGGAAGCCGGUCCUCCUCCUCCUCCUCCUCCCCUCUCCGUCUCCCGCGAUCCGUGUCCCCAGAUUCGUCCGCCAUCCGGUCUCAUCUCUCCUCCUCCCCCCUCUCCCCUGCUCUCCGUCCCCGAGCUCCCACGCGCGCCCCCACCCGACCAGCCCCGGCCGUCCUGCUCGUCUCUCCCGCCCGCGACCCCGGCGGCCGCCCCCACUCCGACCCCGAUCCUGCGGCGGCGCGUCCCGGCGUCCCAAGCGCGGGAGAUCUACCAGGGUCGGCGGGCGUGGGGCGUAGGUGCAGGCGUGCAGCCCAAGUCCGCCCCCGGCUCUAGGUUUCUGCUAAUCUUCUGCUACCUGUGACACGCGCUCCGGGGCUAGGAGCACUCUUUGCCGGCUGUCUCGUGCUGGGAAUGGCGGAUGGGGACUCGUCCGACUUCACCUUCUGCAAGGUUGACUAUGCUGAAAAUGAUGGUCGUUUGGACUCCCCUAAUUCCAUGGCUGUGGCAAGUAUGACACUGGAGGAUGUUGCCGGUGAUGGUGAGACUAAGAAGGUUCAGGAUGACAAGCAAAUAGUCAAUCCAGUUACUGAUGAAAAAUCUAGUUCCAUAUCUAGUCACGCCAAUGGUGUAUCGCUUCGAGAGCCCAAUUUAAAAGAACCAGUUGUACCAACCAGUAGUGGAGAGUCUGUGCAGUCAAAUGUGGCUCAACCAAAACCUGUAAAGAAAUCUGCGGUACGGGCAAAGGUUCCUUUUGAGAAGGGAUUUAGCCCAAUGGACUGGCUUAAGCUGACUCGUACACAUCCAGAUCUGGCAGGGCUCAAGGGACAGUCAAAUCGGAGGUUAAUUUCUUUGGAAGAAGUUAAGCAGCAUAAAACUGGAGAUUGUAUCUGGACAGUUUUAAAAGGUCGUGUGUACAAUAUUGGUCCCUACAUGAAAUUUCAUCCUGGAGGAGUUGAUAUGCUUAUGAAGGGUGCUGGAAAAGACUGCACUGCUUUGUUCAAUAAAUACCAUGCCUGGGUGAACGCAGAGUUCCUCUUGGAGAAAUGCCUCGUGGGAUACCUUGAUCCCAAUGAGUAGAUCACGCUCUAGCUGGUUCUCAGGGUCGGGUACAGUUUGGUCGCGUGGAGAUGAUCUGAAGAAUGUAAAGAGUGCGUUGAUGCAGUAUAGUGGAGAUAGGUUGAUCAACAUUUUCUGCAGAAAAUAGACGAAUAAACAAAUUUGAUGAUGAUCGUCCUUGCAGAACAAAUUGUCAUCACUGGUUGGCUGCUGCAUAAAAAAAGUACUACAUGUUGGGUAUCUCUGUUGUUGGGCUGUUUAAUUUCAGAAAGGGGAUAUCUCUGCUGCAUAAAAAAAAGUACUACAUGUUGGAGAUAGGUUGAUCAACAUUUUCUGCAGAAAAUAGACGAAUAAACAAAUUUGAUGAUGAUCGUCCUUGCAGAACAAAUUGUCAUCACUGGUUGGCUGCUG
rnacentral:rRNA from 1 species